rnacentral:rRNA from 1 species
GAUGAACGCUGGCUACAGGCUUAACACAUGCAAGUCGUGGGGAAACGGCAUUAUGUGCUUGCACAUUCUGGACGUCGACCGGCGCACGGGUGAGUAUCGCGUAUCCAACCUGCCCCUUACUUGGGGAUACCCCGUUGAAAGACGGCCUAAUACCCGAUGUGUUUCAUUGACGGCAUCCGAUAUGAAACAAAGGUUUUCCGGUAAGGGAUGGGGAUGCGUCUGAUUAGCUAGUUGGCGGGGCAACGGCCCACCAAGGCGACGAUCAGUAGGGGUUCUGAGAGGAAGGUCCCCCACAUUGGAACUGAGACACGGUCCAAACUCCUACGGGAGGCAGCAGUGAGGAAUAUUGGUCAAUGGACGCAAGUCUGAACCAGCCAAGUAGCGUGCAGGAUGACGGCCCUAUGGGUUGUAAACUGCUUUUAUGUGGGAAUAAAGUGGCGCACGUGUGCGCCAUU